rnacentral:rRNA from 1 species
UACGAAGGGGGCUAGCGUUGUUCGGAAUCACUUGGCGUAAAGAGCACGUAGGCGGCGCGUUGAGUCAGGGGUGAAAUCCUGGGGCUCAACUCCAGAACUGCCUUUGAUACUGGCGCGCUCGAGUGUGGGAGAGGUUGGUGGAACUCCGAGUGUCGAGGUGAAAUUCGUAGAUAUUCGGAAGACCACCAGGGGCGAAGGCGGCCAACUGGCCCAUUAAUGACGCUGAGGUGCGAAAGCGUCAGGAGCAAACAUG